rnacentral:lncRNA from 1 species
GAGUAGAAUUUUGGGGGUCCUGGGGGGGAUUUUGGGUUCCUGAAAAGAAUUCUGGGGGUUUCAGGGGGCUUUUGGGGGUCCCAGGAGGAAUUUUGGGGACCCUGAUGAGAAUUUUGGGGUCCCAGGGUAGUUUUUGGGGUCCCAAAGGGAAUUUUGGGCAUCCCAGGGGAGGUUUUGGAGUCCUGGGGAGAAUUUUGGGGAUCUCAGGUUUUUGGGAGAAAUUUUUGGGGUCCCAAAUAGAAUUUUGGGGGUCUUGUGGGGGUUUUGGUGUCCUGAAGGGAAUUUUGGGGGUCUCAGGAGGUUUUUGGGGAUCCCGGGGGGGUUUUGGGGUUCUAUAUGGAAUUUUGGGGGUCCCAGGGGGAUUUUUGGGGCUCCUGAAGGGAAUUUUUGGAUUCCCAGGGCUGUUUUUCGGGGAUCCCGCUGGGUUUCUUUGGUGGUCCCGGAGCUGUUUUUUGGGGAUUCCGCUGGGUUGUUUUGGGGGUCCCGGGGGUGUUUUUGGGGUCCCCCUCUCACCAGUCCAUGGACGCUUCCACUCCCCGGUUCCUGGUCAGCGCCAGCGCCUUCGCCCUGCGGGACCGGGGGGCUCCCGGUUAUUUUUGCGGGGUUCCCGGGAGGGUCUUGAGGCGUCCCGGGAGUCCCGGGGUCUCCGGGGCCUUUCCGUGUCUAUCCCCGCCCCCCCCCUCCAAUAAUCCCAUUCCCGGUCCCGGUGCCGUUACCGGGUCCACUCCGGCUGCUCCCGCCCGCCCUCCCCCGUUGUCCCCGGCCCUCCCCCGGUGUCCGAACGGUGCCGGCGCCCUCACGCGCGCCGGGUCCCGAAUCCCAUCUCCAGCAGCGCCUCCAGGGCGAGCCCGGGCCCGGUCCCACCGCCCUCCGCCAUCACGGCGGCGCCGGGCUCGCGACACGUGGAGGACGACGGCCGGCGCGAGACAGAAAUGCAGAAAGCGUUCCGGUACGGACGGCGGCCUCGGAGGGAUAAAAAGCCUCAACUGCGUUCUCGGACGGACGGCGUCUAGAGAGGGACAGAAAUCCUAAAAUGCGUUGUGGUACGCACGGUGGCUGUACAGGGACAAAAAUACUCAAAUGCGUUGUGGUACGGACGGCGUCCGGAGAGGGACAGGAAGCUUAAAAGCAUUUUCGUACGGACGGCGGCCGGACAGGGACAGAAAGUAUCAAAUUCGUUAUGGUACGGACGGCGUCUGGAGAGGGACAGAAAGACUCAAAGCGUUCUCGUAUGGCCGGCGGCCGGCGUGGGACAGGAAGCCGCUCGCGCCGCCGCCAUCCCCGGCGCCGCGGAGCCGCCUCCAGCCCUCCCCUCACUCACAGACAUCGCCCCGCUCGCCGCUCGCUCCCGCCUCUCACCCCCUCCCGCCCCGUCUCGGCGGGUUUUGCAGGGCGCUGGCUGGGGGGCUGCAGUACCCCUUUCUGUCCACAAGGCGGCAGCACUGCCGCCCGCCACCGCCGGGGGCCGCCGCUCGCCUCGGGGCCGCGGGCGGGGCAGGCGGCAAAAAAGAACGGGCUCCGUCCCCUGCGGAACGUCCUCGGUUGCAAAUGCCCCGAAACAUCUCGCGCAGAAAAGAACGCCAACAAAAAAAAACCCUGCCUCUAACCCAACAAGAAACAAAAGAAAAAAACCUUUUCUUUUAAACUGCGUUUCAAUGUAUUUCAUUUUUGUAUUAUUUAUAUUCACAU